CUUGUACUCCCUCCGUCCGAAAAUACUUGUCAUUAAUAAAAUGGAUAAGAAGGGAUGUAUCUAGAACUAAUAUACAUCUAGAUACAUCCCCUUUUAUUCAUUUUGAUGACAAGUAUUUCCGGACGGAGGGAGUACAUA
rfam:Triticum aestivum genome assembly, contig: Triticum_aestivum_CS42_TGACv1_scaffold_149263_2BS